GACGAACGCUGGCGGCGUGCUUAACACAUGCAAGUCGAACGGAAAGGCCCUGCUUUUGUGGGGUGCUCGAGUGGCGAACGGGUGAGUAACACGUGAGUAACCUGCCCUUGACUUUGGGAUAACUUCAGGAAACUGGGGCUAAUACCGGAUAGGAGCUCCUGCUGCAUGGUGGGGGUUGGAAAGUUUCGGCGGUUGGGGAUGGACUCGCGGCUUAUCAGCUUGUUGGUGGGGUAGUGGCUUACCAAGGCUUUGACGGGUAGCCGGCCUGAGAGGGUGACCGGCCACAAUGGGACUGAGAUACAGCCCAGACUCCUACGGGAGGCAGCAGUGGGGAAUAUUGCACAGUGGGCGGAAGCCUAAUGCAGCAGCGCCGCGUGCGGGAUAACGGCCUUCGGGUUGUAAACCGCUUUCGCCUGUGACGAAGCGUGAGUGACGGUAAUGGGUAAAUAAGCACCGGCUAACUACGUG
rnacentral:rRNA from 1 species